rnacentral:rRNA from 1 species
AUUGAACGCUGGCGGCAUGCCUUACACAUGCAAAUCGAACGGUAACGGGCCUUCGGGUGCCGACGAGUGGCGAACGGGUGAGUAAUACAUCGGAACGUGCCCGAUCGUGGGGGAUAACGAGGCGAAAGCUUUGCUAAUACCGCAUACGAUCUACGGAUGAAAGCAGGGGACCGCAAGGCCUUGCGCGGACGGAGCGGCCGAUGGCAGAUUAGGUAGUUGGUGGGAUAAAAGCUUACCAAGCCGACGACCUGUAGCUGGUCUGAGAGGAUGAUCAGCCACACUGGGACUGAGACACGGCCCAGACUCCUACGGGAGGCAGCAGUGGGGAAUUUUGGACAAUGGGCGCAAGCCUGAUCCAGCCAUGCCGCGUGCAGGAUGAAGGCCUUCGGGUUGUAAACUGAUUUUGUACGGAACGAAAAGCCUUCUUUUAAUACAGGAGGGUCAUGACGGUACCGUAAGAAUAAGCACCGGCUAACUACGUG